rnacentral:rRNA from 1 species
UUAAUGGGGAGUGACAGCUGUCGAAAGAUGGUUUUCUUCGGACACUCUUCAAGGUGCUGCAUGGUUGUCGUCAGCUCGUGCCGUGAGGUGUCGGGUUAAGUCCAUAACGAGCGCAACCCUUACCGUUAGUUACCAUCAGGUUAAGCUGGGGACUCUAGCGGGACUGCCACCGUAAGGUGAGAGGAAGGUGGGGAUGACGUCAAAUCAGCACGGCCCUUAUGUCCAGGGCUACACACGUGUUACAAUGGCCGGUACAAAGGGCAGCUACUUCGCGAGAAGAUGCUAAUCUCGAAAGCCGGUCUCAGUUCGGAUCGAAGUCUGCAACCCGACUUCGUGAAGCUGGAUUCGCUAGUAAUCGCGCAUCAGCCAUGGCGCGGUGAAUACGUUCCCGGGCCUU